UUUAUCGUUAAAGUGAUCAACCUUGGUGUGGAUGGCCCUUUACUCAACUAACUACUACACUAGCUAGCGUUAUCUAAGUAACGUAGCUAGCUAGCAACAGUAACUAACGUUAAUUAACGCUAGCUGUCUUUUAGCUAAAUGCUGCGCGUUGUUGUUUACAUUACAGAUAACGUUAGUUAACUAAUGUUUAACUAUGUAAAGUUUCCACCAGUGCAAUCGCUAAUUAGCUAACGUUAUAAGUUCAAUCAGGUGAAUAAUACAAUUCAAAGUGGUAGCUACUAAGCUAGCUAGCCAGCCAGCCGCUGCUGCUGCUAGCACACUAGCUAGAUACUUUUACUUCAUUCAAUGUUGUUAACAUAGCUUGCUAAACUAGCUGAGUCACUGUCGGGCCCGGUCUUGCCACUAAAAGUAGUCACUAAAUGAGACAAUUCAGUAAAAAACGGGUGAACAAUAGUAACGUAUGGAAAUAUAAUGAAUUUACCCUCGGCUGGGAAUUCUUCAAACUCAUCGUCCUCCUCUAAUAAUCCCAAAUCCACAGUCUGUUUCUUGUCUGACAUGUUUGCUAUCUUUUCGUUGCGCGUCGUUGUGACGGAUCGGAUUUCCAGUGAGGGUAGUUAUGGGAUAGUGGUGGUAGUGCGCAUUGGCAGAGAGUGUUCCGCAAACACAAUGAAGCCGUCCACAUCACCUACGCUCCACUGACUGAAGCCAGGGUCUUCUUCUUCUUCUUUGACUGAAGCCAGGGUCAGUGCUAUCCGGAAUCCUUGGGACGUUCCUAACCUUAAACCUUACCCUAACAAUUACCUUACCCUAACCCUAACCCUUUUACAUGUAAACUUCAAUGGAGUAGCGACCUCCCAAGGAUUCCGGAUUCGGACCCUGAAGCCGGCCAGGUGGCUCUGUCCUGCGUUCCUCCACCGCCCCAGGCCAUGGCCUCUAAAGCACUCCUCUGGGACCCCACCAGAGAACCAGAGAACCAGCGACCCAGAGGACCAGAGAACCAGAGACCCAGAGACCCAGAGGACCAGAGACCCAGAGAACCAGAGACCCAGAGACCCAGAGACCCAGAGGACCAGAGACCCAGAGGACCAGAGACCCAGAGAACCAGAGAACCAGAGACCCAGAGACCCAGAGGACCAGAGACCCAGAGACCCAGAGACCCAGAGACCCAGAGACCCAGAGACCCAGAGACCCAGAGACCCCAGAGACCAAGAGACCAAGAGACCCAGAGAACCAGAGGACCAGAGAACCAGGAAAAGUUACCGACAACCCUCCACCUCCCCACCACCAUCACCAGCUAAGACCCAUCACUGGAACUCCUUUCUCCCAGCGCGGGGGAUUCGAUUCCAGCUGACCCUCAUAGGACUACCUGCCAAAACAGCAUCUGGCUCCGAGCUCGGAGAUGAGGCCAUUCCCCAAACUAUUUCAUAUUGCAUUUUGCCUCUAUUGUUCAUUCAGUUAAUGAACGAUAAAGCCUUAAACUCGAUUGAACAUAUCAUGUUUAGUCCAGUUAACCCACCUCUAUAAAGAGGAAUAUUAGACUGUAUAUUAAUGUAUUGUCAUCUCCAUCCAUUUUGUUGUGGCUUAUGUAUUUUAGGAACAUGUAUAUUUAGCAUUUUACUGAAACAUUGGGAUAUGUAAAAAUAAGACUAUUUCUCCUAGAAUGAAAACAAUAAAUGCAUUUUGCAAUCAAAGCCAUGGUAACUUUAAUUCAGCUUUCAAAACAUUGGCCAUGAGUAAACCCCUUGUUCAAAAUGCAGUUUCAGGUAGGUGUUUUGGGGGGCGGUGUAGACAAUAGUUAGGAAAUAUAAUCUGACAACUCCUGCAUUGUGGCUUUUAUGAGAACCAUGGCAGUCCAGUGAAUGAGUUGGGCUGUCAGUCACAGUGCACAUGACCAGGUGUGAACAUUUUUUCCUUUUCUUUUUUCCGCCUCAGGUCACUCUGUGCUCUUAAAUUACAUGUUCCUUUUGUUAUAGGCAUAAAUGCAUUGUGUGUGCCACUUCCUCAAUGGUUCCCACUUUAGUCAGUGCAAGUUCUCUUGUUUAAGCAAAUGUAGGUCAAUUUGCUCAAAUUUGAUUGUGAAUUGUGUUUUCUGCUAUGUGCAACUCCUGUUCUGUUGCAUCAAGGAUUUUAAUUUCUCUCAAUUUUGUUGAAAUAUUUUUCAUUUUCGAUGUUAUUCAAAUGUAAGCCUUUCCUAACCACAGGAAUAUUCCUUAUUUUACUUUUUAGAAAAGCAUUGUAGGCUCCUUUUUUUCUGAAAAUAUACAGAAAUGCGAUUCUCAUAGUAAUUUUGCAUAACGGUCUGUUAGCCGUCAUCCUCUCUACUGAAUAGUGUAAUAUGUUUAUGUUCCGUACUGUAUGCCACAUAUAUCAUUAGGUCUGAGGUUUUUUACAUUACAUCUGUUCACUUAUCCCUUCUAGUGGUUACAACGUGAUGUAGAUGACUUUACCCACAACAGCGUGGUGCAGGCUAGAGGAUUUUACCCACCAGCCGACAUGCAUGCAAGCAACUCAGUCAUAUCAGAAUUUAGCUCAAUUCUGAUUAUGAUGAAAAAGUGAUUAUGAUAACUUUCUAGUGAGAAUUUAAAGGUUUUAAAUGUUUUUUGUUGUUGUUUUUUUACCUGCCCAGCAACUGUGAAUUGGGCCUAGUUUUUGUUUUAUAAAACUACAGCACACUGAUGUGAAAACUGAAAUGUUGAUUUAUUUAUGUGCACUAUCCCAGUCCCCAUCAACUAAAUUGCAUAAAUAUGUUUCAUAGUUUCCAUAUCCCUCUU
rnacentral:lncRNA from 1 species